rnacentral:rRNA from 1 species
UACGUAGGGGGCUAGCGUUAUCCGGAAUUACUGGGCGUAAAGGGUGCGUAGGUGGUUUCUUAGGUCAGAGGUGAAAGGCUACGGCUCAACCGUAGUAAGCCUUUGAAACUGGGGAACUUGAGUGCAGGAGAGGAGAGUGGAAUUCCUAGUGUAGCGGUGAAAUGCGUAGAUAUUAGGAGGAACACCAGUUGCGAAGGCGGCUCUCUGGACUGUAACUGACACUGAGGCACGAAAGCGUGGGGAGCAAACAGG